GUGGGGAAUUUUGGACAAUGGGCGAAAGCCUGAUCCAGCCAUGCCGCGUGCAGGAUGAAGGCCUUCGGGUUGUAAACUGCUUUUGUACGGAACGAAAAGACUCUGGUUAAUACCUGGGGUCCAUGACGGUACCGUAAGAAUAAGCACCGGCUAACUACGUGCCAGCAGCCGCGGUAAUACGUAGGGUGCAAGCGUUAAUCGGAAUUACUGGGCGUAAAGCGUGCGCAGGCGGUUAUAUAAGACAGAUGUGAAAUCCCCGGGCUCAACCUGGGAACUGCAUUUGUGACUGUAUAGCUAGAGUACGGCAGAGGGGGAUGGAAUUCCGCGUGUAGCAGUGAAAUGCGUAGAUAUGCGGAGGAACACCGAUGGCGAAGGCAAUCCCCUGGGCCUGUACUGACGCUCAUGCACGAAAGCGUGGGGAGCAAACAGGAUUAGAUACCCGAGUAGUCC
rnacentral:rRNA from 1 species